GGCCCCUAUGGUCCAGCGGUUACGACCUCUCUUUUUCACGGAGAAAACGAGGGUUCAAGUCCCUCUGGGGGUAUACUAAGACUCAAGACGAUAGGAGUGGGAUUUUCUAUCAAGUGAUCUAUGUUUGUCAAGUCCUUCUAAUAGUCUACUCAGUGGGACUUUGUAUUUUAGAUCAAGUGAUAUGUAUUUAUCAAAUCUGCCUAGGGACAAAUAUUGUGGAAUGUCUAAAAUAAAUUAGGCGUUGGGUCGAUGCCCGAGUGGUUAAUGGGGACGGACUGUAAAUUCGUUGACAAUAUGUCUACGCUGGUUCAAAUCCAGCUCGGCCCAAC
rnacentral:tRNA from 1 species